rnacentral:rRNA from 1 species
AUGCAAGUCGAGCGAAUGGAUUAAGAGCUUGCUCUUAUGAAGUUAGCGGCGGACGGGUGAGUAACACGUGGGUAACCUGCCCAUAAGACUGGGAUAACUCCGGGAAACCGGGGCUAAUACCGGAUAACAUUUUGAACCGCAUGGUUCGAAAUUGAAAGGCGGCUUCGGCUGUCACUUAUGGAUGGACCCGCGUCGCAUUAGCUAGUUGGUGAGGUAACGGCUCACCAAGGCAACGAUGCGUAGCCGACCUGAGAGGGUGAUCGGCCACACUGGGACUGAGACACGGCCCAGACUCCUACGGGAGGCAGCAGUAGGGAAUCUUCCGCAAUGGACGAAAGUCUGACGGAGCAACGCCGCGUGAGUGAUGAAGGCUUUCGGGUCGUAAAACUCUGUUGUUAGGGAAGAACAAGUGCUAGUUGAAUAAGCUGGCACCUUGACGGUACCUAACCAGAAAGCCACGGCUAACUACGUGCCAGCAGCCGCGGUAAUACGUAGGUGGCAAGCGUUAUCCGGAAUUAUUGGGCGUAAAGCGCGCGCAGGUGGUUUCUUAAGUCUGAUGUGAAAGCCCACGGCUCAACCGUGGAGGGUCAUUGGAAACUGGGAGACUUGAGUGCAGAAGAGGAAAGUGGAAUUCCAUGUGUAGCGGUGAAAUGCGUAGAGAUAUGGAGGAACACCAGUGGCGAAGGCGACUUUCUGGUCUGUAACUGACACUGAGGCGCGAAAGCGUGGGGAGCAAACAGGAUUAG